rnacentral:lncRNA from 1 species
UUGCAGGCCAAGUCCCUCAUGUCCAGAUGGCCACCAGCAGCUCCAGGCUCGGAUUCUCCCAGUUUGCAAACCCAGCAGAAGGAACUCUUGCUGACCAGUAGUUCCCAAGACUGAUUUUCCAUGGGGCUGGUGGAGAUGAAUGGCCAACCCUGAAUCAGUCACUGCACCAGGGGGAUGAUCCCUCUUUCUGCCUUGGAGCUGGCUUAUCAGAGGUAGAGAGGAAUGGGCGGGGAUCAAAGCAAAAGGAGGGAGGAUGUGGAAAGGGGAGUUGCCCUUGUGAAAAUCAGGCACUGUGACCAGAGGUAGGAGGAGUGGAUAACGGACAGGGUAAAACAGCAGUGGCCCGUGAAACCACACUAAGGCUGCUGAGCAACUUCCAGCAAGCAGUGGAGCUACCAAGGGUCAGCCUAGGAUUUAUGAGAUAUUCCCUCACACAACCUGAGAAGAAAUUAAGAAACAACUUUUACUUCAGAACUGAAAACUGUCUGGAAAACCAGAGAAGUGCUGAAUGUCACUGUGAAGAAACGAAAAACAGGAGGCGACGUGUGCUGGGCAGAUGGGACAUGGCUUUCUGUGUUUCCGUAGGUAAUUGCAACAGCAUUAAGGAAAUGUGAGAAAGACAUUAGCAUGGCACAAAUGCCUGUUCAUCUCCGCUUUUAAAUGUCUCUGAGUUGAAUUAAACCACAGUGGUAAUGUAGAGUUUUU